CUGGGUGGCUUCGGCCUAAACCCCCCUAACCAUUGUGAACGAUACCAGUUGCUUAGCUGGUGGCGGUGAAAACUGCAGUACCUGGCGGCACAAAACUCUUCUAAUGUCAUCUCUGAGUUACUUUUAAAUAAGUCA
rnacentral:misc_RNA from 1 species